GGCAGGAUUGCGCUGAUGUGAAGGUGGGGCACGGAAGGUGGAAGGCGUGAGCUGGGGGCAUGUCUCUGGAUCGUCGGGGACACACCCCUCAGCCACCUCUCCUUAAGGGGAACAGUGGAGUUUCCCGGAGUGCAUUGGUAUGAGAGGAAAACGUCAGUCUCCAGGCUAAGGAAUGUGCACUCGUGUUGGAAAAUUUCCUCAGGUUUAACACGGAACACAUUCUUCAUGGCUCUCCUUGGAAACCACCUACAGCCUCAGUGCAGCCUACCUGGAACCACCCCUGGAGUGUAAAUUAAACUACUUUGGGACUCUCAGUUUUUAAGGGCAUGAAGGAAUUUUGAGACCAAAAAGUCUAAGAACCCCUGGUCUAAUAGGUAGAGCUAUCACCGCCUUCAUUUUAGACCCACAAAAAUUAGAUCUUCCUGCAGUGUCAUGAUGGACAUUUUGAAAUCAGUAUGCCUGGCUUUCCUGGUCACACCUGGCAAAUGUUACAUGAACAAGAAGAACACUGAGGUCUGCAACAUUGGAACUGUACAAACGAAGUGUUAACUAUGGGUUAUGCUAAAUACAACGUGUUAAAGAACCUGCGGUUGAAUUGUUCCAAUUAUUUCAAAGUAGAAUGAGAAAAGAAUA